rnacentral:rRNA from 1 species
CCUACGGGAGGCAGCAGUGGGGAAUUUUGGACAAUGGGCGAAAGCCUGAUCCAGCCAUUCCGCGUGCAGGAUGAAGGCCCUCGGGUUGUAAACUGCUUUUGUACAGAACGAAAAGGUUUCUAAUUAAUACUAGGAGCUCAUGACGGUACUGUAAGAAUAAGCACCGGCUAACUACGUGCCAGCAGCCGCGGUAAUACGUAGGGUGCAAGCGUUAAUCGGAAUUACUGGGCGUAAAGCGUGCGCAGGCGGUUAUAUAAGUCAGAUGUGAAAUCCCCGGGCUCAACCUGGGAACUGCAUUUGAGACUGUAUAGCUAGAGUACGGUAGAGGGGGAUGGAAUUCCGCGUGUAGCAGUGAAAUGCGUAGAUAUGCGGAGGAACACCGAUGGCGAAGGCAAUCCCCUGGACCUGUACUGACGCUCAUGCACGAAAGCGUGGGGAGCAAACAGGAUUAGAUACCCUGGUAGUCCACGCCCUAAACGAUGUCAACUGGUUGUUGGGUCUUAACUGACUCAGUAACGAAGCUAACGCGUGAAGUUGACCGCCUGGGGAAGUAACGGCCGCAAGGUUUGAAACUUCAAAGGAAUUGACCGAGNGAGAGNGCGAGACGACGACGAGGAGGAGG